ACUUGCCCACCUUAGGCCUUCAUUCGCAGCAGGCAUGUGUGCCUGGGUUUGUUACCAGCAGCCAUUUUCUCACCCUUAAAUGAGGGAUGGGUCUCCCCUUUUCUUUUUCUCAUUUUCCUAGAGGUUACAAGAUUCCUGUUUUUCUCACCAGGAGGAGAGGUCAGCCUCAGUGAGCUCAUAGCAGUCAUACAUUGCCAGUGUUUUUCCUCAAGUGGAAGGAGAAAGGCCUUCAGAAAAAAAAUCGUAUGCAAACCUAGUGCUACCACCAGCAGUAGCUCUGAAUCGAGAUUUUUGGGAGAAUUAGGCUUACUAAAGAUAAACUACAAUAAGUCUCAAGGAAGCAAAUAAUUCUGAUUCUAAUGAGGAAUCCAAGAAUAAAGGCAGCUCUUAAGGUAACUAGAUCUGGAGUCAAGCUGACCUGAGCUUGCGUGUAUAGCCCAUUUUCCUGCUUCUAGGUUGAGAGACCUUGAACAAGUUACUUAACUUUUCUAGUCCUGAAUUUCUUGGUUUUUAAAAUUGUAUACAAUCAUGAUGACACUUAAAAGACUGUUGUGAAAAUUAAAGGAAAUAAGGAUGUAUGAAGAGCUUUACAAAUUGGGAAGUGUGACACAAAUGACUUUGGUAAGGGGUGAGCAACUCACAUAGUAUUAGUUUAACCAAACUGAAUUACCAUGUGAUAGUGAAAGCUAUGCCAUUGCUACUCAUGAUGUCCCUCAGUUUCAUACUGACUCAUGGCCUAGGACUCUGGUUUUCAGACCAAGUACUCUGACUAGAAAAUAUCCUCAUAUUUGAUGGAAGACAGCAUGAGACGGAGAACCAAGUUCCUUAAAGUACGGAAGUGAACUGUCUGUGGGUGACUUGCCUGGAUGCCGGCUAUAGCUGCAGCCCCCAAAGUCGAAGCUACCAGAACAGGUUGGAUGAGGAUGGCCCAAAGAUUAUGGAGUUGCUGGCCCCAAAGCAAGUCAGACACUAUGGGAAGUUUGCAUGAAUCAUGCCCUUGGAUAGACAACCUAAAUCAUACCUCAUCGAGCAUGGAUCCUGGUCAGCAUACCAAGUCAAGGCAAGUAAAGACUGAAGAAAUAUCACCUGGUCUGCAGCUCCCCCCAGAACGAAGUCUGCUACUGAUGGCAGAAGCAUAGAUAGACCAAGGGUAUCACUAUGUAAUGAUGGAAGAAGGAAAAACCCCAUGCAUUCACUCAUGUCUUGAAUCACCUAGAGAAGAGAGGGAAUCUGCCAAAGUGGACACAAUAGAAAUUCAGUUCUAAAUUUGGAGGAAAUGAGGCCCACUCUCAGAUAAGAUGAAAAGUAAAAGCCCUAGGAUCCAAUGGGGUAUUAAACAAAUAUUUAAAAGUAGAGAGGUGGUGACCAGUUAUUUCCUGAUAUAUAGAAUACCAUGGGUCCAUAAAGAAUUUUUUAGAGUAUCAAUAUUAUUAACACUUUGAAGAAGACAUAUGAAAAACUGAUUAAAUUAUAAAUUAGGAAAUCAUAGAUCAUUACUAUUUGUAGCCUCUCUACUCCCCUCUGAUUACAGAACUUUAGGCAGUUUGUCUGGAUUGGUGAUUGCUGGAUAAAAGCUCAAGAAAAGAAAGUAGCCAUCAAGAUACUUCUCUUGGGAGGCCGAGGCGGGCAGAUCACUUGAGGUCAGGAGUUUGAGACCAGCCUGGCCAACAUGGUGAAACCCCAUCUCUGCCAAAAAAUACCAAAAACAUUAGCUAGCCAUGGUGGCGCAUGCCUGAAGUCCCAGCUGCUCAGGAGGCUGAGGCACAAGAAUCACUUGAACCCAGGAAGUAGAGGUUGCAGUGAGCAGAGAUUGUGCCACUGAACUCCAGCCUGUGUGACAGAAUGAGACUCCGUCUCCAAAACAACAACAACAAAAUACUUACCUUGCAUUCACAGAUUUUAUGAAGAAAAGUUUGGUAUUGUUAGAUUAGAUGUACAAGCUAUGUUCCCAUAUGGGAUUUUAGAAUCAGGAAAUCUGGAUUCUUUUCCCAGCUCUGCCACUUACCAGCUAUAUAAUUUGGGGCAAGAUACUCUCUCCGAUCCUCAGUUUCCUCAUCACUAAAAGGAGAGGAAAAAGAUUUCUUCUUUCAUUCUAAAAUUCCACCACUAGAAAUUUUAGGAAUUAAUCAUGAAUAUACACAAGAGUUAUCAUAAUAUUAUUUAUAUCAGCAAAACAUUCAAGGGAACACCCAAAUAUUAGCAGUAGAGGAUGGCAAAUAAAGCAUGAUAUGUUUACCAAAUGGAAGGCGCUACCAUCAUUAAAAUAAAGAAAAAUAAAUCAGAGACAAUGAUGUUCCAGCUGCAUUAUGAGAAACAAAAAAAUUCAAAGUCCCAAAGCAUAGUAUAUCAUUUUGUCA
rnacentral:lncRNA from 1 species